rnacentral:rRNA from 1 species
UACGUAGGGUGCGAGCGUUAAUCGGAAUUACUGGGCGUAAAGCGUGCGCAGGCGGUUCGUUAAGUCAGCUGUGAAAGCCCCGAGCUUAACUUGGGAAUUGCGGUUGAAACUGGCGGACUAGAAUCUGGCAGAGGGGGGUGGAAUUCCACGUGUAAGCAGUGAAAUGCGUAGAGAUGUGGAGGAACACCGAAUGGCGAAGGCAGCCUCCUGGGCCCAGUACUGG